AUGGUUCCGUCCGGGUACGACUGCGCCGCCUCCGUCCUGCUCUGCGCCGAGGACAACGCCGCCAUCCUCGGCCUCGACGACGACGAGGAAGACUGCUCCUGGGCGGCGGCGGCCGCCACCCCGCCGCGCAUCGCCGCCGAUGCCGCCGCGGCGGCGGAGGGGUUCCUGGUGGACCACCCCGUGCAGUCCGAUGAGUGCGUGGCGGCGCUCGUCGAGACGGAGAAGGAGCACAUGCCCGCCGACGGGUACCCCCAGAUGCUGCUGCGCCGGCCCGGGGCCCUGGAUUUGGCCGCCGUCAGGAGGGACGCCAUAGAUUGGAUUUGGAAGGUCAUUGAGCAUUUCAAUUUCGCGCCGUUGACUGCGGUCCUGUCUGUCAACUACCUUGAUAGGUUCCUCUCCGUCUAUCCCCUUCCUGAAGGCAAAGCUUGGGUGACACAGCUCUUGGCAGUGGCUUGCUUGUCCCUCGCUUCAAAGAUGGAGGAGACCUAUGUGCCGCUCCCCGUCGACCUGCAGGUGGUUGAGGCAAAUUCUGCGUUCGAGGGGAAGACCAUAAAAAGGAUGGAGCUUUUGGUGCUCAGCACCUUAAAAUGGAGGAUGCAAGCUGUUACUGCUUGCUCAUUUAUUGACUACUUCCUGCGCAAAUUCAAUGAUCAUGACGCGCCCUCCAUGCUCGCAUUCUCCCGCUCGACCGACCUCAUCCUGAGCACAGCUAAAGGAGCUGAUUUUUUGGUGUUCAGACCUUCAGAGAUUGCUGCAAGUGUCGCACUUGCCGCAUUUGGGGAGCGCAAUACUUCAGUAGUCGAGCGGGCUACAACUACUUGCAAGUUCAUAAACAAGGAGCGAGUGUUAAGAUGCUACGAAUUGAUUCAAGACAAGAUAGCAAUGGGAACCAUUGUCCUAAAGUCAGCUGGAUCAUCAAUGUUCUCUGUGCCGCAAAGCCCGAUAGGCGUGUUGGAUGCUGCUGCAUGUCUCAGCCAACAGAGUGAUGAUACUGCUGUUGGAUCUCCAGCAACAUGCUACCAAGCCUCUUCGGCAAGCAAAAGGAGGAGAAUUGGCAGAUGA
rnacentral:rRNA from 1 species